CCCUUAGAUGUUCUGGGCCGCACGCGCGCUACACUGAUGCAUUCAACGAGCCUAUCCUUGACCGACAGGUCCGGGUAAUCUUUGAAUCUGCAUCGUGACGGGGAUAGAUUAUUGCAAUUAUUAAUCUUCAACGAGGAAUGCCUAGUAGGCGCAAGUCAUCAGCUUGCGUCGAUUACGUCCCUGCCCUUUGUACACACCGCCCGUCGCUCCUACCGAUUGGGAGUGCUGGUGAAAUGUUCGGAUCGGCCGUUUGUCGCGGUUUCCGCGUCAUGUGGCUGAGAAGUUCAUUAAACCCUCCCACCUAGAGGAAGGAGAAGUCGUAACA
rnacentral:rRNA from 1 species